UUAAAAAAAGAACACUUUGUAGCCAGGUGUGGUAGCUGGCAUCUACAGUCUCAGGGCAGGUAGAGACAAAAGAAGCAAGAGUUUGAGGCUAGUCUGUACUACAGAGCAAAACUGUCUAGAACCCCUUGGCCCCCCAAACCAGCCAACCAACCAGCAAACAAGCAACAAAAACUUCUAACACUCUCUAGAAGCUACCAGAAAGCUCCACAUUCCUUCCAUCGAUUCCACUGGCCUUUAAUCACAGCUGCUAGCUACAAAAGGAGGAGGGAAGUACAGCUUUCUCCUGACAUCCCUGGCUGUCACGUUGACAUCAACAUCCUCUGCCACACAUGGUAUUCUUCCUGCUGUUGUGUCUAGUAAGAUCCCUGAAAUCUAAGGAUGCUAAUUUAAAAAGUCAGUGUCUGAAUGAGGAGGGUGUGAGCUAUAAUCUCAGGAAGCAUGAGAAGUCAGAGGCAGCAGCAUCAGCAGUUGUGAUGUGUGUGUGUGUGUGUGUGUGUGUGUGUGUGCGUGCCUGCGUGCGUGUGUGCCUGUGUGUGUGUGUAUGCGUUGGGGGGUGAGGUACUCAUAUUCCUGCCAUUUGCAGACUCAGCCAGAAGCCCAGCCAAGGAAAACGUGAAGUGGGCAGCCAGCUUCAGCCUGGGAGACACCCUGCAGCCAGCCUGGCCUUCAUUCUGACUUGCCAUCAGUGAGUCUCCUAGACAGCUGACACACUGCAGAAUCCCGUGGGGGGGAGCAGACCGGUGGGGGAAGGCAGUGAGUCAACCCCAGCCUGUGUGAAGGAGGAAUUCAUGUGUGGCAGGUGACCACAUUGCCUGACCCCCUCCCCGGAUGCCCCUUUCCUAAAAUGGGCUCAUGCUUUGGGGCACUGAAAUGCCACUGAUGCCUGUACCCUGUGUGGUUCUGGAUACCAGUGCCCCUGGGACCUUGGGUAGUCCUUCCUACCUCCCUGUAGGGCCUGGGUCCCUGGCAGCUGUGAUCUGAGAAGGACUAUGUAUGGUGAUGGGCUCAGGGUUUCCCUGAUGGGGAGCAGGGGUGGGGACAGGGAGCCUCUAGUGUUUGAUUCCCUCUCUGAGUGCCACGCAGUGUGUCUCUGUCUCAGGUGGGAGCCCUGGGCUCAGCGUCUCCCCCCACAGAAGCCCCUCCACACCCUUCCGGGUCAGUGCUGGCUAUGGCUCUGCCGAAGACAGUUCUUUCAAAAGACUUCAGUUGCGUAAGUACUGUGCUCUCAUUCUGGAAAAAUUAGAAAACAUGUCAGGCCAAAUAACAAAACUAUUGAUAAGUGUUAUCAAAGCACAGGCUGCCCCUCCCCCACCAGGGAGAACAACCACACUCCUCCAGAGUUUUGUGUUUAGUCCUGGAGACACCCGAGGGGCCAAGCAUUGGGGUUCAUGUCCCAUCACAGCUUGCCCUCCCUGGCAAGAUUCGGGCAUUGAUGUCGCUCCCAGUGACAGGACAUUAAAGAGUUGACAUGUGCAGAGUGCUUAGAGCAGUCUGGCAGGGAGCGCUAGCCAGGCUGACCUCACCAAGUAGAUGUGCACACCCUCAGAAACACGUUGUUGUGGAAACCAGUCAUGUGCUCGGGCUGCCUGCCCUGGUGCCUGCUCUGCAACGGGACUCGUGGCCCGUUAUAUAUUAUGCUCCACUCUCCUCCCGAAGGCAUCACGUGGUCCCACCAGGGCAGAAACACACUCCCCCCCUCUCUUUCUAUCUAUUAACACAAUUUCAGUUCAUUAAUAUCCACUAUUCAGUCAGAGCAUAGAUGUCCCAAAGUGCUCCGUUCAUUUCCCAUUUACAGUUUAUUUGAAUCACAAUUUGCAUAAGCCCCCUGGGCUGGGAUUACCUCCUUGGGCUCCCCUCAUCUUUCUUUUCUUCUUGAACAUUUAACUGCAUCUAGGUUGUUUCUCCAGAAGUUUCCUAGGGCCUGGACCUUGCUAACUUCUUUCCACAUCAUGCCUCUGAAACAAAUGCAGUGCUAUUUGUUGAAUUCAGCCCAAAAUUUCAGAAUGCCCAAAACUCAAUUUGACGUUUUCCUGAGUGGCUUCAUGCUGAUUUUAGCACCCCACACUGCUGCAGUCCUGCAAGGAUGCCUUUGUUCCCUUUCCCUAGCCUCCAGGGUACCAGGAGACAAAGUCAAGCUAAAGAAUUCGGUCCUUAGGUCACUGUGUCCAGAGGCGUGGGCUCAGCCAUCCAGAUGGCACCUCAGUGCCACCGUGAGUAAGCAAGAGACGUCUGGCUGGAAAGUGAUUCCUGUCUGUCUGUCUACAGUUUGCAUUUCAGCCCCUGCAGGACUCUCAGGAUUUUGUUUCCUGGAUGAGAAAACUGGAGCUUAAGCUGUCAUUUAACUUAAGCGGCAGGCAAAGUGACACCUUCAAGUGGAUGAAGAUGAAGCCACUCUUCCAGAGACCCCUCGCCCUCCAGCAGAACUCGGCGGAGCCUCGGGGACGGAUUACAGUGUAGUUCUCAGGCAGCCCACUGGCUCCAGCCAGCUUGUCCCCACCCUCCUCCUCAUGCUUGCUUCUGGAAAUGUCCUUUGCGUCCCUUCUUGUCUCAGGGGGAAGCUGCACUCAGUGUUUUCACCUCCUCUGCACCAGUGCUGUCCUUUGCAGGUGUCCUUGACCCCCGACAGUGCCCUCGCUCACAAGGUGGUGACUCCCGCAGCAAGGCGAUCCUCACCCUCCUCCCUCCAUGUCCCUGUAGGUCUCCAGAACAUGGAUUACACUCCACACUCAGCUGUCUACCCUCAGGUGGUGGCCGUCCCAGCCUUGCUGUUGCUGGAGCAGAUCCUUGGCUCUGUCUCUCACAGCCAGUGCGGAUCUGUUAAGAUCAUCACGUAGCCAGAAGCCUGCCUUCCUCACCUAGGGCAGGGUGGUCGCCUGUUGGAGGAGUCUCCCUGGCCCACCAUUACCCCUUCACGUUAAAGUUAACAAGGGCCAAGUCCUACUUUGAGCCUCUGCUUGCAACUUUUGCUGCGGAGUGAAAGCCAAAGACCCUCAAGUGACCAACAGGGCCACAUGACCUGACCACUCUUGUCCUUCCUCCCUGUUGCUCUGCUUCCUGAACACGCAUAGCGCAGCCUCGCCUUGCUAGUUCCCUGCCAAGAACAGGCCUGCUUGCCUGCGUGAGCACUGUUCAGCCUUCGUCUUCUGGCCCUGGGCUUUCGCUCUCCCCAGUUUCCAAGUUCACAGUGGCGUGAAAGCAACUUUGUAUGUUCAGCAGAAAUCACACUUUCGAUUUGUAUCUCUUCCCGGAUAAGUCACGCACAGCACUUGAUGAAAGCAGUGAUUGUUGCUGUUUUACUGCAGCUGCAGGCGAUGAAACUCAACAAACCCCAUGUGGAGUUUACUGGGGUAAGGGAGCAAAGGGUGGGGUGGGUGUUGGCCGACCAGGAACAGAGGUGGAAGGGGAGAGGGGAACAGAGCUGGAAGGGGAGGGGGGAAACAGAGAUGGAAGGGGAAGAAGGGGCGACCAGGUGGGAGGCGCUCGCUUAAAAGGGAAAGCUUGCACAAGCGUACAGAGUCCUUACGCAGCCACGUAACACAUGCCUUAGCCACACAACACAGGGCCCUCUGAGCUGUCCAAGUAUCCGGCUGUAUGGCAGCGUGUGUAUCCUGCCCACUGUCGGGGGCGGGGUCAGCAUAAUGCCUGAAUCCUUAUAAUGAUGACCACUCAUCAGGAGGUGAAACAGCCGGCGUGCUGUACCCACUCAGCUCUGUAGGACUGGGAUGUCAAAUCAUUCUCCGCCUGUAAGAUUUCCAGGUUGCCAUGGCUUAUGGUGCAUAGACCCACCACAGGUCAAGGAACCUUAACAAUCAGUUCAAUAUAUUCAGAAAGAAAAUAAAAAUACAACAAGUCAUUAGCAUGGUA